rnacentral:rRNA from 1 species
UACAGGGGGUGCAAGCGUUGUUCGGAAUUACUGGGCGUAAAGGGUUCGUAGGUGGCCACCUAAGUCAGACGUGAAAUCCCUCAGCUUAACUGGGGAACUGCGUCUGAUACUGGGUGGCUUGAGUGCAGGAGAGGAAUGCGGAAUUCCAGGUGUAGCGGUGAAAUGCGUAGAUAUCUGGAGGAACACCGGUGGCGAAGGCGGCAUUCUGGACUGUAACUGACACUGAGGAACGAAAGCCAGGGGAGCAAACGGG